rnacentral:rRNA from 1 species
UGGGGAAUAUUGGACAAUGGGGGCAACCCUGAUCCAGCAAUGCCGCGUGAGUGAUGAAGGCCUUAGGGUUGUAAAGCUCUUUCGGCGGGGACGAUGAUGACGGUACCCGCAGAAGAAGCCCCGGCUAACUUCGUGCCAGCAGCCGCGGUAAUACGAAGGGGGCUAGCGUUGUUCGGAAUUACUGGGCGUAAAGGGCGCGCAGGCGGCCGCUCAAGUCAGGUGUGAAAGCCCCGGGCUCAACCUGGGAACUGCACUUGAUACUGAGUGGCUAGAGUUCGGGAGAGGAGAGUGGAAUUCCCAGUGUAGAGGUGAAAUUCGUAGAUAUUGGGAAGAACACCGGUGGCGAAGGCGGCUCUCUGGACCGAUACUGACGCUGAGGCGCGAAAGCGUGGGGAGCAAACAGG